AAUCAUAAGGGGGGCGGGGGUCAAAAAAGGGGUAAUUUUUUUUUUUCCUUUUUUUUUUGUUUAAAAUUUACAUUUUAAGUUAGUUAUUUUUUAUCACGAAGAGAAAGUAGGAAUUGAGUUUUGGGGUUAAUUGCUCAAACAUUUAUGAAUAAGGGGCCAAAUAUUGGUCGAAAAUAAGGAUUUUUUUAGUUUGCAACAAAAACUUGUGUUCAAGUGUAUGGAUCUCUGUGAAAUUGUAUUGCAAUGUACCAUACCACAAAUUGAAGGUUGUGAUUGAGGUGGGGGAUGAUGAAUCAAAAGGGGGUUGAAAAAAUGUGUGGGGGGUAGGAUUUUUUUUUUUCCUUUUUUUUUUCUUUAAAAUUUUCCAUUUAAAGAUGGUUGUUUCAGAUUUAUAUAUGAAAGAAAAUAAUAAUGAUACGGUUAUAUAUCAUGAGGAAUUGAAAUUUAAAAUUAUGUAUAUUGGAAAUUUAGGUUACAUUGGAAAGUAAUAAUUGGCUUUGGGGAGGCGGGGGGUGGUUAUGGCUCUAAUGUUUAAGGAAUAAGGGGAAAAAAGGUUAAAAAACAAGGGUUUCCAUUUUAAUAGACAAAUAAUUGAGUAAAGAACAUUAUUUAAAAGCAGUGUAAGGUUGGUAAUUCAAACUCAUUUAAAUAUCUCAUCUACACUGCUUUUAAAUUAUGUAAAUUGGAAAUUUGCCAAUAACUUUAUUGUUAAUAAAUGCAUUGGAAAUUUGCCAACAAUUUUAGUGUAAUAAACUUCAUUGGAAAUUUGCCAAUAUAAAAUUUUGCUGAUGAAGGUUUUUUGUUUACCUUUAGCCUUGACUAUGAAGUCAUUUUCUAUUUUUAUAGCCUUAUGAUGUAGUUGAAUUAUUUAAUACUUUUAUGAUGUGUUUAAAUGGGGUUUUAUCAUGUUUAUGGUUGCAAAUUUAUUGUUUUAGUAUAAUAAACUCCAUUUAAAAUUUGCCAAUAAAAAAAAGUUUUGUUUAUUUUUAGCUAUGAUUAUGAUGUCAUUUUCUAUUUUACUUUUAUGGUUGCAAAGAAAUUUUUAUUUUUAGAUAUUACUGUUAAAUGAUGCUGAUUAAGGUUUUUGCUAUGUUUAGCCAUGACUAUGAUGUCAUUUUCUAUUUUAAUAUCUGUUAUGAUGUAUUUAAAUGGGCUUUUAUGGUUACAAAGGAAUUUUAUUUUUAUACGACCGCAAAAAAAUUUUUGUGGUCGUAUAUUGGUAUGACGUUGGCGUCGUCGUCGUCGUCGUCGUCGUCGUCGUCCGGCGUCGUCGUCCGGCGUCGUCGUCCGAAUACACAAUAGUUUUCGCACUCUAACUUUAGUUUAAGUGAAUGGAUCUCAAUGAAAUUUUACCAUAAGGUUCAAUACCACAAAAGGAAGGUGGGGAUUGAUUUUGGGGGUUAUGGUACUAACAGUUAAGGAAUUAGGGGCCAAAAGGGGCCAAAAAUAAGCAUUUUUGUAACUUCCAGACAUAACUUGUGUGUAAGUGUAUGGAUCUCUCUGACAUUGUACCACAAGGUUCCAUAUCACAAAGGGAAUGCUGGGAUUGAUUUUGGGGGUAAUUGCCUCCAAAUUUUAGGAAUUAGGGGCCAAAAAGGGGCAAAAAACAAGCAUUUUUCUAGUUUCAUGACAAUAACUUGUUUGUAAUUGUAUGGAUCUUUAUGAAAUUGUACUACAAGGUUCCAUAUCACAAAGGGAAUACUGGGAUUGAUUUUUGGGGUAAUUUCCUCCAAAUUUUAGGAAUUAGGGGCCAAAAUGGGGCAAAAAACAAGCAUUUUUAUACGACCGCAAAAAAAUUUUGUGGUCGUAUAUUGGUAUGACGUUGGCGUCGUCGUCGUCGUCGUCGUCGUCGUCGUCGUCCGGCGUCGUCGUCGUCGUCCGGCGUCGUCGUCCGAAUACAUAUUGGUUUUCGCACUCUAACUUUAGUUUAAGUGAAUGGAUCUUUUUGAAAUUUGACCAUAAGGUUAAAUACCACAAAAGGAAGGUUGGGAUUGAUUUUGGGGGUUAUGGUACCAACAGUUAAGGAAUUAGGGGCCAAAAAGGGGCCAAAAAUGAGCAUUUUCUAGUUUCCAGACAAUAACUGUGGAACGGUGUAUGGAUCUCUCUGAAAUUAUACUACAAGUUUCCAUACCACAAAGGGAUGGUUAGGAUUUGCUUUGGGGGGUUAUGGCUCAAACCGUUUAGGAAUUAGGGGCAAAAAAGGGGGAAAAACAAGGUUGUCCUGGUUAAUGGACAAAUACUUUAGUACAAAACAUAAUUUAAAGCAGUGUAAGGGAGAUAAAUCAAAUACAUCAUUGAAAUUAUCUCCCUUACACUGCUUUUAAAUUAUGUAUAAAGUAAUGGUUAAUGAACAAUAAAGAUAAUCUAAAACAGUGUAAGGGAGGUAAUCAAAAUACAACGUUUUGGUUACUUCCCUUACACUGCUUUUAAAUUAUGUUUAAAGAAAUGCAUAUUUAUAAAGGAAGACCAGUAAAAAUAUCUGCAAAUGUUUUCAUCUUUUUUUUUUACAAAAAAAUCCAUAUGAAAGAUUUGACACUAUAUUUUUAUUAAUUCUAUUAUAAAAUAGAUUAAGUUAGCACUAUGGUAAAUUUAAAUGGGUAAUUAUGGUUGCCAACUCCUUUGGAAAUUUGAAUUGAGAUUAUGACCAUAUCUUGAGGGAAAGAAUUUUUUUGGGGGAAAAAGGGGGGGGGGGGAUAAAAAGAAAUUGUGGGGGGCCAAUUUUUUCUCAUUUCAGAUUUCAGAAAUUAAAAAGAAUUAUUCUUCAAAUAUUAUUUUUUUUUCAAAUUUCAAAUAUUGAAAAAUUUCAAGAAGUAAUCUUUAAUUGCACAGUAUGGCGCAUUAGAUUUGUAAAAUCUUUGAUCACAUUUAUUUAUUUGUUACGCUGAAUCUAACAGUGUAUUUAGAUUUUUAAUUUUGGGUCCAGUUUUCAAAUUGGUCUACAUUAAUGUCCAAAGGGUCCAAAAUUAAACUUUGAUUGAUUUUAGCAAAAAUUGAAUAUAUGAGGUUCUUUGAUAUGCUGAAUCUAAACAUGUAUUUAGAUUUUUGAUUUUUGGCCCAGUUUUCAAGUUGGUCCAAAUUGGGGUCCAAAAUUAAACUUUGUUUGAUUUCAACAAAAAUUGAAUAUAUGGGGUUCUUUGAUAUGCUGAAUCUAACCAUGUAUUUAGAUUUUUUAUUUGUGGACCCCGUUAUCUAAUUGGUUCAUAUUGAGGUCAAAAGGGUCCAAAAUUAAACUUUGUUUGAUUUCAUCUAAAAUUGAAUUAUUGGGGUUCUUUGAUAUUCCAAAUCUAACCGUGUAUUUAGGUUUUUAAUUUUGGUUCCUGUUUUUUAAAUUGGUCUACAUUGAGGUCCAAAGGGUCCAAAAUUAAACUUAGUUUGAUUUUAACAAAAAUUGAAUUCUUGGGGUUCUUUGAUUUGCUGAAUCUAAACAUGUGUUUAGAUUUUUGAUUAUGGGCCCAGUUUUCAAGUUGGUCCAAGAUAGGGUCCAGUAUUUAAACUUUGUUUGAUUUCAACAAAAAUUGAAUAAAUGGGGUUCUUUGAUAUGCUGAAUCUAAACAUGUAUUUAGAUUUUUGAUUAUGGGCCCAGUUUUCAAGUUGGUCCAAAUUGGGGUCCAAAAUUAAACUUUGUUUGAUUUCAACAAAAAUUGAAUAUAUGAGGUUCUUUGAUAUGCUGAAUCUAACCAUGUAUUUAGAUUUUUUAUUUGUGGGCCCUGCUAUCAAAUUGGUUCAUAUUGAGGUCAAAAGGGUCCAAAAUUAAACUUUGUUUGAUUUCAUCGAAAAUUGAAUUAUUGGGGUUCUUUGAUAUGCCAAAUCUAACCGUGUUUUUAGAUUUUUAAUUUGGGUCCCGUUUUUUAAAUUGGUCUUCAUUGAGGUCCAAAGGGUCCAAAAUUAAACUUAGUUUGAUUUUAACAAAAAUUGAAUUCUUGGGGUUCUUUGAUAUGCUGAAUCUAAACAUGUGUUUAGAUUUUUGAUUUUGGGCCCAGUUUUCAAGUUGGUCCAAGUUGGGGUCCAAAAUUAAACUUUUUUUGAUUUCAACAAAAAUUGAAUAUAUGGGGUUCUUUGAUAUGCUGAAUCUAACCAUGAAUUUAGAAUUUUUAUUUGUGGGCCCCGCUAUCAAAUUGGUUCAUAUUGAAGGUCAAAAGGGUCCAAAAUUAAACUUUGUUUGAUUUCAUCAAAAAUUGAAUUAUUGGGGUUCUUUGAUAUUCCAAAUCUAACCGUGUAUUUAGAUUUUUAAUUUUAAGUCCCGUUUUUUAAAUUGGUCUACAUUAAGGUCCAAAGGGUCCAAAAUUAAACUUAGUUUGAUUUUAGCAAAAAUUGAAUUCUUGGGGUUCUUUGAUAUGCUGAAUCUAAACAUGUGUUUAGAUUUUUGAUUAUGGGCCCAGUUUUCAAGUUUGUCCAAGUUGGGGUCCAAAAUUAAACUUUGUUUGAUUUUAACAAAAAUUGAAUAUAUGGGGUUCUUUGAUAUGCUGAAUCUAACCAUGUAUUUUGAUUUUGGACAUUGGACCAUAAUAGGUAAAUUAAAAAAAUUCAAGUUCUUAGACCACAUUCUUUCUGUGUCAGAAACCUAUGCUGUGUCAAAUAUUUAAUAACAAUCCAAAUUCAGAGCUGUAUCAAGCUUGAAUGUUGUGUCCAUACUUGCCCCAACUGUUCAGGGUUCGACCUCUGCGGUCGUAUCAAGCUGCGCCCCAGCGAAGCAUUUUAUAUAGAAUAUGAAGUAAAAAAUUUAAAGAACAUACUGGAAAAAAACAAUGUUAGAUUGAACAUGUAGAAUAUAAAGAUGGAGAAACUUUAUAAGUACAAGGGUACUAUAAACAUAAUAAAUUGGAUGGAAAGUUGAAGAAAACACACUUUAAAAGACCAUUUUUACAGCACACGGUUACAUUUACAACAAAAUUAAUGUCGAUUAAAAACCUCCUGAUCUGAGUCCUAAUCUCCUGACCAAAAUUUCCCAAUCUCCUGAUCUGAGUUUCACAGUCCAUCACAUGUAUGAAUAGGUAAAUUGAAAAUUUUUAAGUUCUUAGACCACUUUCAUUCUGUGUCAGAAACCUAUGCUGUGUCAAAUAUUUAAUUACAAUCCAAAUUCAGUGCUGUAUCAAGCUUGAAUGUUGUGUCCAUACUUGCCCCAACUGUUCAGAGUUCGACCUCUGCGGUCGUAUCAAGCUGCGCCCCAGCGGAGCAUUUUAUUAGAUAUUACUAUAAAAUGUUGCUGAUGCUGAUUAAGGAUUUUGUUUAUUUUUAGCCAUGACUAUGAUGUCAUUUUAUAUUUUAAUACCUUUAUGAUGUAAUUUCCAUUUUUAUACAACCGCAAAAAAAUUUUGAGGUCGUAUAUUGGUAUGACGUUGGCGUCGUCGUCGUCGUCGUCGUCGUCCGGCGUCGUCGUCCGAAUACACAAUGGUUUUCGCACUCUAACUUUAGUUUAAGUGAAUGGAUCUCUAUGAAAUUUUACCAUAAGGUUCAAUACCACAAAAGGAAGGUUGGGAUUGAUUUUGGGGGUUAUGGUAAUAACAGUAAAGGAAUUAGGGGCCAAAAAGGGGCCAAAAAUAAGCAUUUUUGUAACUUCCAGACAUAACUUGUGUGUUAGUGUAUGGAUCUCUCUGACAUUGUACCACAAGGUUCCAUAUCACUAAAGGAAUGCUGGGAUUGAUUUUGGGGGUAAUUGCCUCCAAAUUUUAGGAAUUAGGGGCCAAAAAAGGGGCAAAAAACAAGCAUUUUUCUAGUUUCAUGACAAUAACUUGUGUGUAAGUGUAUGGAUCUUUCUGAAAUUGUACUACAAGGUUCCAUAUCACAAAGGGAAAGCUGGGUUUGAGUUUGGGGGUAAUUGCCCUAAACGUUUAGGAAUUUGGGGCCAAAAAGGGGCCAAAAAACACAUUUUUUUCUAGUUUCCAGACAAUAACUUGUGUUCAAGUGUAUGGAUCUCUCUGAAAUUGUACUGCAAGGUACCAUACCACAAAGGGAAGGCUGGGAUUGAGUUUGGGGGUGAUGAAUCAUAAUGGGGGUUCAAAAAAUUUUGGGGGGGGGAUUUAUUUUUUUUUCCUUUUUUUUCUUUUUUUCCUUUUUUGUUUCUUUUAAAAUUUUCCAUUUUAAGUUGGUUAUUUCUGAUUUAUAUUUAAAAUCAAAUAAUAAUGAUAUGGUAGGAGAUACACACCAAACAGGAUGUGUAAAUUAUUAUAUAAUAAGUAUUGUGCAAUAGCAAGAAAUUUUCAAUUGCACAGUAUUGCACAAUAGCAAGAAAUCUUCAAUUGCACAGUAUUGCGCAAUAGCAAGAAAUCUUCAAUUGCACAGUAUUGCGCAAUAGCAAGAAAUAUCCAAUAGCACAAUAUUGCGCAAUAGCAAGAAAUUGUCAAUUGUACAGUAUUGCGCAAUAGCAAGAAAUAUUUAAUAGCACAGGAUUGUGCAAAAGAAGAUACUUCCUAUAAAUUGCUUAUUUCUUGACCAAUUUCAAUGGGGUUUUAUUCUUGAUUUCAUGGGGUUCUUUAAUAUGCUGAAUAUAACCGUGUAUUUAGUUUAUGGAUUUUGGGCCCCGUUUUUAAAUUGGUCCACAUUGAGGUCCAAAGGGUCCAAAAUUAAACUUUGUUUGAUUUCAUCAAAAAUUGAAUUAUUGGGGUUCUUUGAUAUGCCGAAUCUAACUGUGUAUUUAGAUUCUUAAAUUUUGGUUCCGUUUUCAAAUUGGUCUACAUUAAGGUCCAAAGGGUCCAAAAUUAAACUUAGUUUGAUUUUAACAAAAAUUGAAUUCUUAGGGUUCUUUGAUAUGCUGAAUCUAAACAUGUAUUUAGAUUUUUGAUUAUGGGCCCAGUUUUCAAGUUGGUCCAAAUCGGGGUCCAAAAUUAAACUUUGUUUGAUUUCAACAAAAAUUGAAUAUAUGGGGUUCUUUGAUAUGCUGAAUCAAACCAUGUAUUUAGAUUUUUGAUUUUUGGGCCCCGUUAUCAACUUUGUCCACAUUGAGGUCCAAAGGGUCCAAAAUUAAACUUUGUUUGAUUUCAUCAAAAAUUGAAUUAUUGGGGUUCUUUGAUAUGCCGAAUCUAACCGUGUAUUUAGAUUCUUAAUUUUUGGUUCCGUUUUCAAAUUGGUCUACAUUAAGGUCCAAAGGGUCCAAAAUUAAACUUAGUUUGAUUUUAACAAAAAUUGAAUUCUUAGGGUUCUUUGAUAUGCUGAAUCUAAACAUGUAUUUAGAUUUUUGAUUAUGGGCCCAGUUUUCAAGUUGGUCCAAAUCGGGGUCCAAAAUUAAACUUUGUUUGAUUUCAACAAAAAUUGAAUAUAUGGGGUUCUUUGAUAUGCUGAAUCUAACCAUGUAUUUAGAUUUUUGAUUUUUGGGCCCCGUUAUCAACUUUGUCCACAUUGAGGUCAAAAGGGUCCGAAAUUAAACUUUGUUUGAUUUCAUCAAAAAUUGAAUUCUUGGGGUUCUUUGAUAUGCUGAAUCUAACCAUGUAUUUAGAUUUUGGAUAUUGGACCAUAAUAGGUGAAUGUCCAAUUUAAAAUUUUUAAGUUCUUAGACCACAUUCAAUCUGUGUUAGAAACCUAUGCUGUGUCAAAUAUUUAAUCACAAUCCAAAUCCAAAGCUGUAUCAAGCUUGAAUGUUGUGUCCAUACUUCCCCCAACUGUUCAGGGUUCGACCUCUGCGGUCGUAUCAAGCUGCGCCCUGCGGAGCAUUUUAUUUUUUGUUUAAAAUUUACAUUUUAAGUUAGUUAUUUUUUAUCACGAAGAGAAAGUAGGAAUUGAGUUUUGGGGUUAAUUGCUCAAACAUUUAUGAAUAAGGGGCCAAAUAUUGGUCGAAAAUAAGGAUUUUUUUAGUUUGCAACAAAAACUUGUGUUCAAGUGUAUGGAUCUCUGUGAAAUUGUAUUGCAAUGUACCAUACCACAAAUUGAAGGUUGUGACUGAGGUGGGGGAUGAUGAAUCAAAAGGGGGUUGAAAAAAUGUGUGGGGGGUAGGAUUUUUUUUUUUCUUUAAAAUUUUCCAUUUAAAGAUGGUUGUUUCAGAUUUAUAUAUGAAAGAAAAUAAUAAUGAUAUGGUUAUAUAUCAUGAGGAACUGAAAUUUAAAAUUAUGUAUAUUGGAAAUUUAGGUUACAUUGGAAAGUAAUAAUUGGCUUUGGGGGGGGGUGGUGGUGGUUAUGGCUCUAACGUUUAAGGAAUAAGGGGAAAAAAGGUUAAAAAACAAGGGUUUCCAUUUUAAUAGACAAAUAAUUGAGUAAAGAACAUUAUUUAAAAGCAGUGUAAGGUUGGUAAUUCAAACUCAUUUAAAUAUCUCAUCUACACUGCUUUUAAAUUAUGUAAAUUGGAAAUUUGCCAAUAACUUUAUUGUUAAUAAAUGCAUUGGAAAUUUGCCAACAAUUUUAGUGUAAUAAACUUAAUUGGAAAUUUGCCAAUAUAAAAUUUUGCUGAUGAAGGUUUUUUGUUUACCUUUAGCCUUGACUAUGAAGUCAUUUUCUAUUUUUAUAGCCUUAUGAUGUAGUUGAAUUAUUUAAUACUUUUAUGAUGUGUUUAAAUGGGGUUUUAUCAUGUUGAUGGUUGCAAAUUUAUUGUUUUAGUAUAAUAAACUCCAUUUAAAAUUUGCCAAUAAAAAAAAUUUUGUUUAUUUUUAGCUAUGAUUAUGAUGUCAUUUUCUAUUUUACUUUUAUGGUUGCAAAGAAAUUUUUAUUUUUAGAUAUUACUGUUAAAUGAUGCUGAUUAAGGUUUUUGCUAUGUUUAGCCAUGACUAUGAUGUCAUUUUCUAUUUUAAUAUCUGUUAUGAUGUAUUUAAAUGGGGUUUUAUGGUUACAAAGGAAUUUUAUUUUUAGAUAUUACUAUAAAAUGUUGCUGAUGCUGAAUAAGGAUUUUGUUUAUUUUUAGCCAUGACUAUGAUGUCAUUUUCUAUUUUAAUACCUUUAUGAUGUAAUUUCCAUUUUUAGAUAUUACUGUUAAAUGAUGCUGAUUAAGGGUUUUUUGCUAUGUUUAGCCAUGACUAUGAUGUCAUUUUCUAUUUUAAUAUCUUUAUGAUGUAUUUAAAUGGGCUUUUAUGGUUACAAAGGAAUUUUAUUUUUAGAUAUUACUUUAAAUGUUGCUGAUUAAGGAUUUUUGUUUAUUUUUAGCCAUGACUAUGAUGUCACUUUCUAUUUUAAUACCUUUAUGAUGUAUUUAAAUGGGCUCCCAUGUAUUUAGAUUUUUGAUUAUUUAUACAUGUUACCAAAUUGGUCCACAUUGAACAAAAACGGUCCAAAUUUCAACUUUAUUACAUUACAUCAAACAUUGAAUUCUACAUAUUCUUUGAUAUAUUGAAAUUAACAAACAAUUUAGUUUAUGGAUAUUCCACCAUAAUAGGUAAAUUAAAUUUUUUCCAGUUCUUACACCACAUUCAUCCUGUGUCAGAAACCUAUGCUGUGUCAAAUAUUUAAUGACAAUCCAAAGUCAUAGCUGUAUCAAGCUUGAAUUUUGUGUCCAUACUUGCCCCAACUGUUCAGGGUUCGACCUCUGCGGUCGUAUCAAGCUGCGCCCCAGCGAAGCAUUUUAUCUAUUUUAAUAUCUGUUAUGAUGUAUUUGAAUGGGCUUUUAUGGUUACAAAGGAAUUUUAUUUUUAGAUAUAACUAUAAAAUGUUGCUGAUGCUGAUUAAGGAUUUUGUUUAUUUUUAGCCAUGACUAUGAUGUCAUUUUCUAUUUUAAUACCUUUAUGAUGUAAUUUCCAUUUUUAUACGACCGCAAAAAAAUUUUGUGGUCGUAUAUUGGUAUGACGUUGGCGUCGUCGUCGUCGUCGUCGUCGUCGUCGUCGUCGUCCGGCGUCGUCGUCCGAAUACACAAUGGUUUUCGCACUCUAACUUUAGUUUAAGUGAAUGGAUCUCUAUGAAAUUUUACCAUAAGGUUCAAUACCACAAAAGGAAGGUGGGGAUUGAUUUUGGGGGUUAUGGUACCAACAGUUAAGGAAUUAGGGGCCAAAAAGGGGCCAAAAAUAAGCAUUU